CCUACGGGAGGCAGCAGUAAGGAAUAUUGGUCAAUGGGCGCAAGCCUGAACCAGCCAUGCCGCGUGCAGGAAGACGGCCCUAUGGGUUGUAAACUGCUUUUGAACAAGAGAAAACCUCGGUACGUGUACCGAGCUGAUAGUAUUGUUAGAAUAAGCAUCGGCUAACUUCGUGCCAGCAGCCGCGGUAAGACGAAGGAUGCAAGCGUUAUCCGGAUUCAUUGGGUUUAAAGGGUGCGUAGGCGGCCUGAUAAGUCAGUGGUGAAAUCUCUCAGCUUAACUGAGAAACUGCCAUUGAUACUGUCGGGCUUGAGUACAGAUGAUGUGGGCGGAAUAUGACAUGUAGUGGUGAAAUACUUAGAUAUGUCAUAGAACACCGAUUGCGAAGGCAGCUCACAAAACUGUAACUGACGCUGAGGCACGAAAGUGCGGGGAUCAAACAGGAUUAGAUACCCUGGUAGUCCGCACCGUAAACGAUGAUUACUCGUUGUUGGCAAUAUGACCGUCAGCGACCAAGCGAAAGCGAUAAGUAAUCCACCUGGGGAGUACGCCGGCAACGGUGAAACUCAAAGGAUUAGACGG
rnacentral:rRNA from 1 species